AGCUCUGUGGUAGAGCGCUCCCUUAGCAUGGGAGAGGGCUGGGGUUCAAUUCCCCAUAACUCCA
rnacentral:tRNA from 1 species